rnacentral:rRNA from 1 species
AAGGAGGGGGCAAGCGGUGAGAGGAAUGAAGGGGCGUAAAGGGUGGGUAGGUGGCUGAUUAAGUUAAGGAUGAAAUCCCGCGGCUCAACUUCGGAACUGUCCUUGAUACUGGUCAGCUUGAGUCUAGUAAAGGAGAGCGGAAUUCCCGGUGGAGCGGUGAAAUGCGUAGAUAUCGGGAGGAACACCAGAGGCGUAGGCGGUUCUCUAGGCUAGUACUGACACUGAGCCGCGAAAGCUAGGGGAGCAAACAG